rnacentral:rRNA from 1 species
UACGUAGGUGGCAAGCGUUAUCCGGAUUUAUUGGGUGUAAAGGGCGUGUAGGCGGGAAAGCAAGUCAGAUGUGAAAACUCAGGGCUCAACCCUGAGCCUGCAUUUGAAACUGUUUUUCUUGAGUGCUGGAGAGGCAAUCGGAAUCCCGUGUGUAGCGGUGAAAUGCGUAGAUAUACGGAGGAACACCAGUGGCGAAGGCGGAUUGCUGGACAGUAACUGACGCUGAGGCGCGAAAGCGUGGGGAGCAAACAGG